UCAUGUUUGGCUCCUCCCCUAAAUGAAGCGUGCCUCGAUACGCGCUUCAUGGAAACGCCCUCUCCACUACUUGACACACGCUUCGAAGCCUCGGCAUAUCUCCUGCUGUGAGGGAACCGACGACUGAACCGGGCCAAGGAGAGACCGAACCUGCAACAGCUUCAUGAAGUCUCCUGGAUGGUUUUCCAAUAGCCUUGAAGAACUUCCCAGAGGUGCUGAGCAGCUGAUGGAGUUUCUCCUCAGUGGAGACGUUGAGGUGGAUGCCAAGAACUGGACUUUCUGAGAGCUGUAGCCUGUAUCGUAGAUGGGUUGCUUUGAAAGUUUUGGGACAGGACCUCCAUGGAGAUGCCAGGAUGCUCAGCGGAGUAACCAUCCCUCUCCAGCCUCCAAGAGCAUCACUAUACUCACUUGAACCAUAUACACUCGCUCACCCACGUCUGAAGUGUGAGGCUAUUCAUCGACCUGUGAAGUCUGGAGGCUAUGCUGGAGUACCGGCUCCGUGUAACAGGAGGAGAUGACUGGGCCAUGUGGACCCUCGGUGCAGCGCUAAAAACAGCCUGACAGCUGUGUGUGAAGAGUGAGUAAAUGAAACUGAAACAGCACCUGACCAUGAGGUAGGUGGAGAGCAUUUCUGAGUGACAUGAAUAUUGGACAAUAAACACAUUAAAUAUAUUUAACACACGUUAGUGUGAUAUUUACUACACUGUUUGUAUUAUUAGCUUUGAAGUAUGUUGUUUUUUGAAAAGUGUCAGUCAAUGCCAGAAGCUUAAUCAACUAAAAGACAUUUUUUACAGAAGAAUCCAACCUUUCUUAUUUGUCUGAUAUUUAUCAAUUUCAUCAGUGUCAUAGUAACAUGUAUGCAUUUAAACUUACAAGAAGUGCAAGAAAAUACAACUUGGAAUUCAUUAUAUAACAGUUAAUAAUAAAUUAUUUAUCUAGCACCAAGUCCAAUUUAAGUUACAAAGUGCUUCACAUGGCAGCAAAAUAGGCAGACAAAAAGUCAUAAAUAGAAAUAAAACACAACAUGGUGUAAAUAACAGCACUGUUAACAGUUAAAACAUUAGUGUAGGAAAUAUAAAACAGUUCAAAGGAAAUUAAAAUUCUAGUAAAAUCAGGAAACACUCUCAGACAAGAGUAUGUUUUAAGAAGAGACUUAAGAAGAGAUCACUGUCUCUGCCAACCUUAUUUCCUUGAUCAUUCCAGAGCCUUGGGGCCCCGACUGCAAAUACUCUGUCCCCUCUAGUUUUCAGUCAGGCCCAAAAGACCUCCACCCAAAAGAUCUCAAGGCCCCUUUUCGACCAAGCAGUGCUGGUUCGGAGCCAGUGCCUGACUUAGCACCAGUUCUUUGUGUUUCCACCAACUAAGCACCGGCUCCCGGCUUCAAAAACUCCUGCUUUUCAGGCACCAACUCUUUGCUGGACCAGAGUUAAGAACUGAGUACGUCAUGGGCUGGGAGGCGCAGGGUUACGGUGACCAAUGCUCAACAACACAGAACCGCCAUUUUUAAACAGCAAAGUGAGUAGUAGUAGUAGUACUAGUGUUUAGUGUUAAUGUUUUGAAAACCGGUUAAUAUGGACACCAAAUCCAAGCAGCAGUGGUCUGAGGAGGAGACCCAGUGCUUGCCGACACUGUGGUCUUCAUAUGAAAUUCAGUUGAAGUCAGAGGGAGCCUCUCAGAACGAUCCAGUGGGAGAUGGCUGCAGCUGGGUACGAGCAGACCCUCGACUGACUUCUCAGUAAACUUAAAAAGCUCAAAAAUGACAACACGGACCGGAAAAGGGAGCUGGAAUGGAGCAGUGGUCGGCCCAAAAAGAGUCCCCAAGGGGUAAAACUGCAAACUGGUGCAUAUAAUGCUAAAAGGUUGGAUAUAUAACUAGGAGAGAGACCAUGAAGUGACUUAAAAUUAAUUAGUAUAAGUUUAAAUUCUAUCUUAAAACAUACUGAAAGCCAUUGUAAAGAGGCUAAAACAGUAAUAAUAGAAAUAGAAGCGUGCAAAAUGAUCUAUGUGUCUUUAAAAGGCAAAAUAGUUUGUAUUUUGGAAAUAUUGAGUGCUGCUUAAAACUUAGAUUACUGUUGAAGCAGAUUCUGAGAUUCCUUACGACAGGCUUAUCGAGAUCUAAAGAGAACCAGCUGAUGUUAGAAUCUGUCUGGCUAUGUGCUGCAAUCCAAUAGUGAGAAUGUGUGUUUUGUUUGAAUUUAGCUGAAGGAACUUAUUUGACAUCCAUUAAGAGAACUCAGCAUACUGGGCUCUGAGGAUCUAACAGACAGACAGUUAAGAGGACCGGUUACUCUAUUAUUUAAGCACUUUUACUGCAUGUUUGCUGUUUUUCCAGGUGUUUGAUGGGAAGUUGAUCCGUUUCAUCUGUGUGUGUUCAGUGGACAAACAAGGCUAGAUUCUCCCAGUAAAGAAGAGCUACAUCUUCUGGGAAUUUCAGUGAGGUCUUAUUUUUCUACUCCACUGACCUGCUACUCAUCCUAUAAAGUCUGUAUUUUGGAUCCAUUGAGUCUUGUUCAGAGUUUGGAAGUCAUUUUGCGGUGAGGAAUAGCUCUGAUGCCUCUUGAAUUCACAAUUUCUGCUGUCAAAUUUGUUAUGGGAAGAAUGUUGCACAACUCGUCAGAUUGCAGGCAACCUUUUAGAGAAGCCUCUACCAGCACUGUUGUUUUCUCUGCAGUUGUCUUUCUGGAGACAUAUGGAUCCUGCAGCUGUUUGAUGCUGCAGGUAUUCGAUGAACUCAAAACAGCUGGAAGCAACAGUCUAAACGUAAGCACAUGUUAAUGUUUUGUCAAAAAAAAGUGAAUUAUUUCUAUUAUUGUUGAAAAAGAUGUCAUUAAUCUGAGCUGUUAGUUUUUCUUCAUCACAGUAAUGUUUCAUUGUUAUGGACAUCUUAUUUUUUAGGCUAAUAGAUGAAUAAUUCUGUAGUAAACAGUACUGAUGAUAAAAAGUGGGAAAAGCCUUCCCUAAAGCACACAACUGAAGUCCUAUUGCUGGUGCGUCCCUCUUCAUUACUGAGACUGCAUGCAGUUCAAAGUUGUUAUGUGUUGAAAGGGAUGCUGAAAUGUUACUAGGUCCAGCUUUAAAGAGGCUAAAAUAAUAGGCGAUCGGGCAGCAUGUGCAGAACAAAAAAAGCACCAUUUACUAUGACAAAAAUAAGGCAUUUCCUUAAAAACAUCUACAAGUUAACCCUUUAAAGGGUACUGAAAAUUUCAACCCUAGAGUGGUAUUGGAGGACGUAAUAUUUUUUUAUUUUUGUGACAUUUUCCAGAAUUUUUAAUUUUCAUGUUGAAAUUCAAGGUCAGUGAAGUUACCAUAUAUGGUUCCUUGCCCUUUAGUGGUUAAAAAAAAAAAACUGUCCAAGAAAUGUAAGUAUCAUCACUUAGUACAACUACUCAAUUGUAAAAUUUGUGAAUUUCGUCAACUAACCAUGGUUAGUUUUGACGUUUCGACCGCAAAUAUGGAAGAGGCACCUGGUGGCGCAGCUUGGUACUCUAGCUACUGUACAAUACAUGUUCCGACAUGCAUGUAGAGAAUCCAGGUUUUACAUCUUUUGGAGUUUAGGGGGAACAUGCAGAAAUCCUUUUCUUUUUUCUUCAUGCAUUGCAGAACUGUUCAGUUCUCAAGCAUGGACACUGGACUGAUUUUAAGAACUUGAAUAACUUGAAUUGCGUGUUAUCUUACUAAUUACAUGGAUUGCAUCAGGGUCAAAAAAUAAUUCAUUGUGACGUCCCUAGUGCCAAUACAUGGCUGUCAAAUGCCAAAUUUGGAACAUAGGGUUGGUCAUAUAUCCUCACACAAUGAGUAGCGGCACUGAGCACACUGCCAGUAAGCAGCAAUCCAGUCAGAACUAAGAAAGAAAUUUUGCUGAAUAUUUAGGCUGCUUUCCAAAUCGCAUACUUUUUCUUUAACCUUUAGGUACCUAGCACAGCUGCCCUCACAAAUUACAUACUGUUACAUGCAUAUGCAUACAGUUAUUACAUACUACUUUGCCAUAAUAUUGUGCCUUAAACUUUGACCAAAUCCUCUGUCUAUCUGCAACUUAAGUUUGUUUAUACUUGUGUGAGACACCAGGACAUAUGUGACGCAACUAUGCAGAGGAUUGUAGGUCAGAAUGGUCAAAAAGCAUGCUGGCUUGCACAGUGCAAAGUGCAUGUAGACGUAGCAGGACAUGCUGGUAUUUUUGGCGUAGUGCAUUUGACAUAUGUUUUGGAAUAUACACAAAAGUUCAUAUACACUUGUAAUCUUCUAUUAUAGAUUAACUGAAACAUAUUUAUCUUUGUCACAAAAAAGUCAUGAAUUUUGAUUCUUUCAUUGAUUUAUUUUAGGUCUUUUGGAAAUAAUACAAAACCUGUUGAGUCAAAAAUAUACAUUCAUCAACUUGAAUUAUCAGUUUUGAGGUGAAAACGGCCACAUGACAUUUAACCAAAUAUUAGACCUGCUAUAUGUAUAUGCAUGCUGCCCAUAUAUGCAUGGUCUUUACAAGUGUAUGUAAACUAUAGCUAUUGGAAUGCAUGCUAAAUUUGAUGUGAUUUAUUAGGGUGCUAAUGGAAGCAGGUGUCGUGGUUGAAGUAAAUCAUGUUGUGUAUUUAGUGCCAGCCAGAUGUUUUUUUCCCAAAUUAUAAGUUGGUCAAAAGAUUGACCAACCAUGUUGAGUUUGUGUUUCUGCAUCUUCGCUGUUGAUCCGCCUGUCACAGUCUGAUAACGUAGAGUAUCUUGGAUCAGGGCUUUGCAAUGACUGGAUUGCUGGGAGUGCAGGUUUGUGGUUGAGGUAGCUCUUAAUCAGUACAUACCUUUCAAACCGGCUGGCUGCUAGCUAAACCACAUUGUCUUGUUUUGUAUUUGUCAUUGUGUUACAUACACAAGGUGGGAUGUGUGGGUGUGGCAGCUUUGGAAUUGUUGGAAGGCGCCUUUGAUGGAGCAGAGCUGAGAAACAAAUAGGUUAUGUAACUGUUAGCGCAGUAUUUUUUCCCCUGCAAGUUAGUAAUUAAUUAAGCAGCGUAAUUACUUUUUAACUAGUAAUUGAUUCCAUUUUUGUAGCAUCAUCUAUUUUAGUCUUUCAGAGAGGGAAUAAGAUAGUCCCUCGGCAUGUUCUCACCACAAUCUGACUGCUGUUGAUCUUUCUUAAUCCUCCCAGGCACAAACCAAACUUGCACUGGUCAUUUCCCUCCAACCAAAAAACUCUCUCCCCACUGUCCUCUGUGUCCAGGCUUCAGCUUGAGUCUCCUCUCGCUCUCCUUCAGAGGAUGAUUGGUCAGUCCCAAUCCCUCCAUGCUACCCUCCCCUCAUUCUCUCUCUCUCUCUCUCUCUCUCUCUCUCUCCCU
ensembl:lncRNA